GUGUCAGCAGCCGCGGUAAGACGGAGGAGGCUAGCGUUGUCCGGAUUGAUUGGGCGUAAAGCGCAUGUAGGCGGGGCCUUAUGUCGGUGGUGAAAUAUUCCCGCUCAACGGGAAAACUGCCGCCGAAACUGAGGUUCUUGAGGGCAGGAGGGGAGAGUGGAAUUGCUGGUGUAGCGGUGAAAUGCGUAGAGAUCAGCAAGAACACCCGUGGCGAAGGCGGCUCUCUGGACUGUUCCUGACGCUGAGAUGCGAAAGCCAGGGGAGCGAACGGGAUUAGAUACCCCGGUAGUCCUGGCCGUAAACUAUGGUCACUAGGUGUCGGGAGAUCGACCCUCUCGGCGCCGUAGCUAACGCAUUAAGUGACCCGCCUGGGGAGUACGGCCGCAAGGCUGAAACUCAAAUGAAUUGACGGGG
rnacentral:rRNA from 1 species